CCACUUGCCUGGCAGGGGAGAUGCCAUGAUCAUGAAGGUGGUUUUCCCGGGGCGAGGCUUAUCCCUUGCACUCCAGAUGUGUUGCCCCUGUAAUUUCCCCAAAUGUGGGAAACUCAACUGCAUAAUUUGCGGUAGUGGGGGACUGCGUUCGCGCUCUCCUGGG